rnacentral:rRNA from 1 species
UACGUAGGGGGCUAGCGUUGUCCGGAAUCAUUGGGCGUAAAGCGCGCGUAGGCGGCCCGGUAAGUCCGUUGUAAAAGUCAAAGGCUCAACCUUUGAAUGUCAGUGGAUACUGCCGGGCUAGAGUCCGGAAGAGGCGAGUGGAAUUCCUGGUGUAGCGGUGAAAUGCGCAGAUAUCAGGAGGAACACCUAUUGCGAAGGCAGCUCGCUGGGACGUAACUGACGCUGAGACGCGAAAGCGUGGGGAGCAAACAGG